rnacentral:rRNA from 2 species
GGAUCCAGACUUUGAUCAUGGCUCAGGAUGAACGCUAGCGGCAGGCUUAACACAUGCAAGUCGAGGGGCAGCGCGGGGCGGCAACGUCCUGGCGGCGACCGGCGGAAGGGUGCGUAACGCGUGAGCGACAUGCCCGUUGCCCGGGGACAACCGGUGGAAACGCCGACUAAUCCCCGAUGGGACGGAGGCCCUCAUGGGUCUCUGUUGAAAGUUACGGCGGCGACGGAUUGGCUCGCGUCCGAUUAGCUUGUUGGCGGGGUAACGGCCCACCAAGGCUACGAUCGGUAGGGGUUCUGAGAGGAAGGUCCCCCACAAUGGAACUGAGACACGGUCCAUACUCCUACGGGAGGCAGCAGUGAGGAAUAUUGGUCAAUGGGCGGAAGCCUGAACCAGCCAUGCCGCGUGCGGGAAGGAGGCCCUAUGGGCUGUGAACCGCUUUUGCCUGGGGGCAAUAAGGGCGUCGUGCACGUCCGAUGAGAGUACCAGGCGAAUAAGCAUCGGCUAACUCCGUGCCAGCAGCCGCGGUAAUACGGGGGAUGCGAGCGUUAUCCGGAUUCAUUGGGUUUAAAGGGUGCGUAGGCUGUGCGUCAAGUCAGGGGUGAAAUUCCGGGGCUCAACUCCGGGGCUGCCCUUGAUACUGUCGCGCUGGAGUGCGGAUGCCGCCGGAGGAAUGAGUGGUGUAGCGGUGAAAUGCUUAGAUAUCACUCAGAACACCGAUUGCGAAGGCAUCUGGCGAAUCCGUAACUGACGCUGAGGCACGAAAGCGUGGGGAUAGAACAGGAUUAGAUACCCUGGUAUUCCACGCCGUAAACGAUGAUGGCUAACCGCCGGCGACACACUGUCGGUGGCCAAGCGAAAGCGAUAAGCCAUCCACCUGGGGAGUACGUCGGCAACGAUGCAACUCAAAUGAAUUGACGG